rnacentral:tRNA from 4 species
CAGGGGGUAGUUUAAUGAGAAUUCCAGCUUUGGGUGCUGGUGGUGGGGCUUUGGCCUCUUCCCUGA